CUACGGGUCGCUGCAGUGGGGAAUCUUGCGCAAUGGGCGAAAGCCUGACGCAGCAACGCCGCGUGCGGGAUGAAGGCCUUCGGGUUGUAAACCGCUUUCAGCAGGGAAGAAAUUGACGGUACCUGCAGAAGAAGCCCCGGCCAACUACGUGCCAGCAGCCGCGGUAACACGUAGGGGGCGAGCGUUGUCCGGAUUUAUUGGGCGUAAAGAGCUCGUAGGCGGUUCGGUAAGUCGGGUGUGAAACCUCCAGGCUCAACCUGGAGACGCCACCUGAUACUGCUGUGACUAGAGUCCGGUAGGGGAGUGUGGAACUCCUGGUGUAGCGGUGAAAUGCGCAGAUAUCAGGAAGAACACCAGCGGCGAAGGCGGCACUCUGGGCCGGUACUGACGCUGAGGAGCGAAAGCGUGGGUAGCAAACAGGAUUAGAUACCCCAGUAGUC
rnacentral:rRNA from 1 species